GGGGCUGACCGGUAUUGACAGCAGAUGUAUUGAUAUACUUGCAAUCCGAGCUUUAUGUAUUGAGCUCGCUAAUCCCGAUGCAUGACACUUAUUUAAAUGGCGAGAACAAUUUCGCUAUGGCAGCCUAACUCAAAGAGUUAGAUGCCUUUGUCCCACCGUUUGACAUCCGAUAGUACGGAUCGGGGCAUAACCAAUUCGGGUCUGAAUUAGUAGAGUAGUUCCGCUCUAUUAGUGCAGUAAACAAGAGAACUAGAGCAUCAGCAUAGGUGGGUAACUUAAGCUACUGAUGUUCGAAAUUAAAUAAGUUACUAAGAUUGUAGACGGUAUGUUGCUACUUUGUCUGGACCAGAGUUCGAUUCUCUGCAGCUCCACUU
rnacentral:tmRNA from 1 species